CCGUUUAUUAGAGUCAGCCUGCCCAGUGAUAACAUUCAACGGCCGCAGUACCCUAACUGCGCGAAGGUAGCAUAAUCACUUGUUCUUUAAAUAGGGACUAGUAUCAACGGCAUCACGAGGGUUGCACUGUCUCCUUUGUCUAAUCAGUGAAACUGAUCUCCCCGUGAAAAAGCGGGGAUACACCUAUAAGACGAGAAGACCCCAUGGAGCUUUAAACCUACAGCAACUCAACCACAUAAUCCCACACAACCUUAGAGACAUGCCUGUUGGCUUUAGGUUGGGGUGACCGCGGAGUAAAAAUCAUCCUCCACAACACAAAGAUCUAAAUCUUUAUUCAAGAGCCACUACUCUAAAAAUUAGCAUACUAAUGUACACUGACCCGAUAAUCGACUAAUGAACCAAGUUACCCUGGGGAUAACAGCGCAAUCUAUUUCAAGAGUUCAUAUCGACAAAUAGGCUUACGACCUCGAUGUUGGAUCAGGGUACCCUAGUGGUGUAGCAGCUACUGAAGGUUCGUUUGUUCAACGAUUAAAACCCUACGUGAUCUGAGU
rnacentral:rRNA from 1 species